rnacentral:rRNA from 1 species
GUAGGUGGCAAGCGUUGUCCGGAAUUAUUGGGCGUAAAGCGCGCGCAGGCGGUUCUCUAAGUCUGAUGUGAAAGCCCACGGGCUCAACCGUGGAGGGUCAUUGGAAACUGGAGAACUUGAGUACAGAAGAGGAAAGCGGAAUUCCACGUGUAGCGGUGAAAUGCGUAGAGAUGUGGAGGAACACCAGUGGCGAAGGCGGCUUUCUGGUCUGUAACUGACGCUGAGGCGCGAAAGCGUGGGGAGCAAACAGGAUUAGAUACCCUGGUAGUCCACGCCGUAAACGAUGAGUGCUAAGUGUUAGGGGGUUUCCGCCCCUUAGUGCUGCAGCUAACGCAUUAAGCACUCCGCCUGGGGAGUACGGCCGCAAAGGCUG